CCUACGGGAUGCAGCAGUGAGGAAUAUUGGUCAAUGGGCGCGAGCCUGAACCAGCCAAGUCGCGUGAGGGAAGACGGUCCUAUGGAUUGUAAACCUCUUUUGUCGGGGAGCAAAACACGCCACGCGUGUCGUUCCGACCGUACCCGACGAAAAAGCAUCGGCUAACGCCGUGCCAGCAGCACCGGUAAUACGAGGGAUUCGAGCGUUAUCCGGAUUUAUUGGGUUAAAGGGGUUCGCAGUGGGAAGAUAAGUUCCGCGGGAAAAUUGAGAGGCUCAACCUCGUCGUGCCGUUGAAACUGGGUGUCUUGAGUGAGCGAGAAGUAUGCGGAAUGCGUGGUGUAGCGGUGAAAUGCAUAGAUAUCACGAAGAACUCCGAUUGCGAAGGCAGCAUACCGGAGCGCAACUGACGCUGAUGCACGAAAGUGUGGGUAUCGAACAGGAUUAGAUACCCGUGUAGUC
rnacentral:rRNA from 1 species